UACGGAGGGAGCUAGCGUUGUUCGGAAUUACUGGGCGUAAAGCGCGCGUAGGCGGCUUUGUAAGUUAGAGGUGAAGGCCCGGGGCUCAACCCCGGAACUGCCUUUAAAACUGCAUCGCUUGAAUCCAGGAGAGGUGAGUGGAAUUCCGAGUGUAGAGGUGAAAUUCGUAGAUAUUCGGAAGAACACCAGUGGCGAAGGCGGCUCACUGGACUGGUAUUGACGCUGAGGUGCGAAAGCGUGGGGAGCAAACAGG
rnacentral:rRNA from 1 species